ACCGAUUCCGGGGGAUGAUUUGUGUUCCUCACGGGGUAAUGGCUCAGACGCUAGAAGCGAUUCUCUGUGGGGUGAUAUCCUGAUUGGUGGCGUUCUCGGUGUCAGCUUAUCCUGGAAACGCCUCAUAUAUUC
rfam:Triticum aestivum genome assembly, contig: Triticum_aestivum_CS42_TGACv1_scaffold_557652_7AL